CUCAAGGCCGCCAAGUCCUCUGCUGAAGAGCAGGAGAAAAUGUUUAAUUGGGACAGACACUCAUUUUGGGCAUCUCGGGCUGAACUUUCAAGGAAAAACCAAGCAUUGCAGGCCACUAAUGCUGAGCUGGUGACUGAGCAGACUGACCUGAAAGCUAAAGUGAACAUACUGUUAGCAUUAGUGCAUGAACUGGAGCAAGAGCUCACUCAGACCACGGGGAAGUGUAAUAACAUAAACUCAGAGAGCAUGAAGGAGCAGGAAUCUCCGCUUCUUCCAUAUUCACAGAAUAAUCUGAUGAUUUUAACAAACAACGAGGAGUUUCCAAUG